UACGUAGGGCGCAAGCGUUGUCCGGAAUUAUUGGGCGUAAAGAGCUCGUAGGCGGCUUGUCGCGUCGGUUGUGAAAGCCCGGGGCUUAACCCCGGGUCUGCAGUCGAUACGGGCAGGCUAGAGUGUGGUAGGGGAGAUCGGAAUUCCUGGUGUAGCGGUGAAAUGCGCAGAUAUCAGGAGGAACACCAGUGGCGAAGGCGGCUCACUGGCCCGGUACUGACGCUGAGGCGCGAAAGCGUGGGGAGCAAACAGG
rnacentral:rRNA from 1 species